UCUCGUUACUUGAAGGGCCGGCGCCGCUGUAGCGGCAGAACCUGAAAGCGGAGCGGGCGGCGCGCAGAGAAGAGAGGAGGACACCUGCCACCGCCGACCCUCCGCCUGAAGUGUCCCGGCCGCCUCUCGCCCCGUCGAGCCGCAGGACCGGCCGGGAGGGGUGCCCAGUCUGGACUGGGCGGAGGGGACGGGGCUGUCCGGCUCCGCCGCUGUUCUCGGCCGCUGGCGGGCACCGCCGCCCCUCGCUCCCCCGGGGGCGCUGCGCUGGGGUGCGGAUCGCCCUCGCCCCGCGGAACUGCCUGGCCGAGCCCUGCCCCGCGGGCGGGCGGCGGUGCCCCCGGUCUGCCCUCGCCCCUCGGUGCCGGCGGCCCCCGCGGACAUGCUGCCCUGCGCUGGGCGGCGGCGGCGCCCUGAGCGGGGGUCGCCCUAGAGCGGCGGGAGGGCGGGCGGGGGAGGCCCCGCGUCAGCACCGGCGGGGCCCGCGCCCGCCAGCGGGGGCUGCCCCGGGGAGGGGGGAGGCGAGGGAGAGGACAACAAGCGGAACAACUUCUGCAAAUUAAAAAAAGGGAAAGAGAGAGACAAAAAAGUAAAAAUAGGGUCGUUCGUGGGACAUCUUCGAAGCUCAGCACCACGCGUGGCGUCCAAGCCGCAGUGAAACCCUCCACGCCAGUGAAUCCCACCACAGUGACAAGAGAAAAGCUGUCUGUGGCCACUGCACCAAAGUCUCGCAGGCGUUAGAGUCGCCUUGGCUUUCUGGCUGGAAGAUGAUUCUUGCGACAGAAUCAUAUUGCUACUGAUGAUGAACUGCAGGGUCGUUGGAAGAUGCCUUCCUUGAGGAUUACAUCUGGAGAAAGGCCAUCAGUCAAGGGGCGAGCUGGCUGGUGAAACUGUCUGACUUCCUCCCCCCCUCCACCCCCCCAACGGGGAAGUGGCUUCAAUGGCUCCAUCUCCUAGGAAAAGCAGUAGGAAAGAUGCCAACACCUUGCCAAGCAUGUCCUCAACUUUCUGGGCUAUCAUGAUUCUGGCCAGUCUCCUAAUCGCUUACUGCAAUUUUAACAGCUAUUUUGGAGCGGAUAACCCUCAAUGGCUGUAUAUGAGACAUUGCCCGGGGUGCUUCCAAGAUGCUUUUGAGCUGGGUCAACUGGCUGCAGGUACAUGUGAGAUUGUUACUUUGGACAGAGAUAGCAGUCAGCCCCGAAGGACUAUAGCCCGACAAACAGCUCGCUGUGCAUGUAAAAAAGGACAGAUUGCCGGUACAACAAGAGCAAGGCCAGCGUGUGUUGAUGCACGAAUUAUCAAAACAAAACAGUGGUGUGAAAUGCUUCCAUGUUUAGAAGGAGAAGGCUGUGAUUUGCUAAUCAAUAAAUCAGGCUGGACCUGUACACAACCAGGAGGACGGAUAAAGACAACCACGACUGAAGACCAGCUGGAAAUGUCCUGAGGCCAUGGUCUACUGGUCUGAGCUUGGGACUGGGAGCCAGAACUCCUGAGCUCUAAUCCCGGCUCUGACAGUGACUCCCUCUGUGGCCUUGGGUCUCCUGACAAAUGCAGCAACACAGAAUCCUCGUAGGAGUGGUUUAGGCUCUCUGUGAGCUACUUAACUUAGUCAAGUUUCACUGCUGUUGAUCAUCAUCCGUUAUAUGUCAUCAACUCAACUGUCUGUUUCUCUGUAUCUCAUGAAUGACAGCAUAAUUCCUCUACAUUAUGAGCUAAAGUUUGUUCUGCCAUUCUAAGGAUCACUGGACUAAGGAAUAUAGAAAAAGAGAUAUGCUUGGGCAUUAGCAAUACAAACAAGUUCAUGGUUAACGUUUCAUCUGCGUUAUACACCACUGCUGGACUUGCUGUUAUCUACAUGUUUCAAUCCGAAGAGUCUGCUACAAUGAAGAGUAUCAUCCCAAUCAGCCUUAGAGAAGACUGUUUUGCCUAUGGGAGGACACUGAGGUGCAAAAGAGAAACUCUUCUUGUGCCCUAAACUGUCUGAAUUGCUUUUAUUUUCUUAUACUUUCAGUAUAUACAAUAGACCAAAGAGCAAAAUCUAUUUUAAAGUGGACACUAUCUUACUCUUAACAGAAUUCUGUCAUUAAAUUGAAGGAGGUCUCCACAAACACGAUUCCAGCUUUCACAAAGAUGAAAUGUUGUUGUCAGCAGAAGUCUUUAUGGAAAGCUGCAGUAAAAACUAACUAGAGACCUGCUCUUGAAAUGCCACGUUUGAGAGAACAUAAUGGAGCACUAAGAGAAAAUUACCUAAGUUUGAAAAACUUGGACGAAAAGAACACAAACUGUCUACACGGCACCUUUAUUCCUCUGUACUUAGAUUGACUUUCUCGUACUAAAAUCAUUUUCAGUUUUAACCAGUUAAACAUGCCUCUUCUACAGUUCCAUUUUUGAUAGUUAAAGUUGGAUAAUACAGUAUUUGCAAAGAGCAUGUUUGGUCAUCUGUGGCCUAUGUCUCAUCUGAUACACCAUUUAGCACCAGAGAGCAAAUUAAAGAGAAAACAAAAGUAACAUUUGUUUGAAAGAGAUCAUUAAAUGUAUUUUGAAAAGCCUAAAGUUAUAUAUUUAACAGUUUUUAUAUGUUGUAUAUUUGUAGAAAAUCCUAUUUAACAAUUAACGUGAUAACUCUGACAGUCAUGACAAGUGGUUCAGAGUUAAGUUGUGUUUUAUUACUUCAGUUGUCUCUGAAGUGACUGGUGUCGUUUGCUUUCUUCCAUGGGGACAUUCUGGAUGUAAAGCAUGACCAGAGAGGACUGUGUAGAAAAAGCAAAGAAUAAUGUUGUUUAUAUUACAUAAAUGCAUUCAACCAUUGCACUGUUGGAAGGCAUUUUUUAUUUUUAUUUUAUUUUUAUUUCUUGUCUUUAUGUACUGAUAAAAAUAGAGUGUAAAAUAUUUUACUCAUUGCUCUUCAUAGCAAGGUUUGUUUUUCUUUCUUUCUUUCUCUUUCUCUCCCCCUACUUUUAUGUAAGGGUCAGUUUGAAGCCUGUUCUUUGAUCCCAUUUUCAGUGUUUUUACCUCAUUGUUAGAAAGUCCACUUUUUCGGCAUUAUUGGUUAGUGAAAAUUUAGCAAAGACAGCAUAGACGAGGGAGAAAUUAUGACAAAACAGAAAAACAAAGCCUUGUUCCCUUUUACUGUACCGUUUGGCAUACAGGUUUGGUACAUAUUGGUAUGAUGCAAUCAACAAGGGAGCUUAAUUUCUUCCUAGCAAAUGUGUUACGGUUUCAAGUAUACUACCUAAUACUCAAAUUAACUUUUAGUGUUAUGCUAGUUCUAUUCUACUAAAGAAAAAUAUAUAGAGAUUAUUCAAGUGACCAUAGAUGAGAGGUACAAAAAUGAAAAGUUGGUAAAAGAAUUUUUUUUAAAGCCUGCUCAAACACUGAGGCUUAUUUAAUGCAGAGGUUGCAGGAAACAUGACCUAUAUACAUUUUGUCUUCAAGUAAAAUAAAUAAAUACAAAAUUCUUAUUUAAUCAUAGGAUUUUGACCAGUAUCAAAGUAGCAAUUAAAGCCCAGCCACUUGUAAAGUGUAAUGGACUGACUGCACUAUAAAUGACCGAUGUCAGGUUUAAAAUGUCAUGCAAUAAAUGAUGGUAAAUACAUUUACUGUACAUGUAGACCUCAAGAGCCAGAUCCUUCACUUUACCAACUCUCUGUUUUGAUUUAUUUUAAAGAGAGCAUAGUAGCCUUAUUUAGUAAACACAGAAAAAUGAAAGAUGUUACAUCAUUUUUGUUGCUUUACAGUAUUCAGUUUUGUGUUGGUUCAGCUAAAUUAUGAAAAAUAAAGAAAAUCCUUUUCUAAGUGAGACUUGUUCCCUGAGCAUGACGUCACCAAAGGAAUUUCACCAGAUGAUAAGUAAGGUAUGAGCACAGAGAGGAAGAUGGAGUUGGAAAUUGAGGACAUGGGUUGUGUUUUGAAGUUUUACCCUUCCAUUUUCAUGUCUUGGGCACCUUCAUUUUGGUAUGCUUAGUUACAGAUCAUAUUAAGGUCGCUUAUUUUCUGGAAAUCAGAUCCUCUAGGAACUCGAGUAUCUAAGAAUGUGCAUCUGAAAUCUUUACAUCCAAAAUCAUACAUUCCAAUCAGUUCUGAAUAUGCAAUCUUAUGUCUUUGUUUUCUAAGUACUUUAAAAGCUCAACAAAAGGUAGAUGUACAUUGUUUAUAAGGUCCACUCUGGAGAAGAACUAUCAAAGACAAAAGAUUCUGAUUAUUCU